rnacentral:sRNA from 1 species
CCCUCCAGGAACAAGAAAACCAAACACUGCAUUUCCUGCAAUAAGUGCGUGUCCGGCUUCGACCACCACUGCAAAUGGAUCAACAACUGCGUGGGAAGCCGGAAUUACUGGUUCUUCUUCAGCACUGUGGCCUCGGCCACAGCCGGCAUGCUCUGCCUGAUCGCCGUCCUGCUGUACAUCCUCGUCCAGUACCUCGUGAACCCCGGGGUGCUCCGCACGGACCCUAAGUACGAAGGUACGUGGCUGCCGCUCUCGGGGGGCCUCAUCUUUGCCUCCAGCCGUCUUUCCGGGCAGUAGUAUCGGGUCUGGGGUGGUUGGUCCCUGUUGCCCCAGGCAGGCUCUGACCUGGGCCGAUGGCAGCAGCCCAGUAUCCACACAGCCCAGCAGCCCCCAGCACGCAGGAGGCAGGCUCGGGGAGGGCGCUGGCCAUGCUGCUCUGUGGAUGCUGCCAGGUCGUGUCAGGCGAG